GAUGAACGCUGGCGGCGUGCCUAAUACAUGCAAGUCGAGCGAACAGACGAGGAGCUUGCUCCUCUGACGUUAGCGGCGGACGGGUGAGUAACACGUGGAUAACCUACCUAUAAGACUGGGAUAACUUCGGGAAACCGGAGCUAAUACCGGAUAAUAUAUUGAACCGCAUGGUUCAAUAGUGAAAGACGGUUUUGCUGUCACUUAUAGAUGGAUCCGCGCCGCAUUAGCUAGUUGGUAAGGUAACGGCUUACCAAGGCAACGAUGCGUAGCCGACCUGAGAGGGUGAUCGGCCACACUGGAACUGAGACACGGUCCAGACUCCUACGGAAGGCAGCAGUAGGGAAUCUUCCGCAAUGGGCGAAAGCCUGACGUAGCAACGCCGCGUGAGUGAUGAAGGUCUUCGGAUCGUAAAACUCUGUUAUUAGGGAAGAACAAAUGUGUAAGUAACUAUGCACGUCUUGACGGUACCUAAUCAGAAAGCCACGGCUAACUACGUG
rnacentral:rRNA from 1 species